CUCCACCCUUGGCAUCGAAACACUGAACUUUCCUCAUUGAGAUGCACUGAGUCAAUGCAACUCUAUAAGAUGCUGUUUGGCCAGGGCUGUGUUUGGCUUUUGCUGGUUUUCCUAUGGGAAAGCAUUGUGAUUGGCUAAGAUCAACGCUUCUGAUGAUGUAAGCCAUCUCAGCUCUAAAUGAUAAUGACCCUCUAGUGUUCCUAUGAUGAAGUACCACUUGAGCACAGAAAAAAAAAAAACCUCUCUCCCCCUCCCUCCAAAUUCCAUGUACAUUCUGUUAUGGAUAUUAGUAGGAAUAUGUGUAUUCAUAUUAGGCUGCAAUUUAACCCCUUAAGGACACAUGACAUGUCAUGAUUCCCUUUUAUUCCAGAAGUUUGGUCCUUAAGGGGUUAAAGCAGAUACAUACUGAAUAGUUUAAGAUGUUCUCUGCCACUCAUCACAUAACACAAAUCUCUAAAGCAAGUUAUGUAAUACUCAUCAACUAAACACUUAUUAGAAAGGUCCAGUUCUAUUGUGGCCGGACAAGGCCGCCUGUUGAUAUAGUGCAACUAUAACCAAAUAACACAAUCAUUUGAGUGCUAUCAGUUAUGGCCAUCAUUAGCUCUUUUCAAAAUAGCAUGAAAGGAGCUAAGCAAAUACCAGAACUGCUGCAACUACCACCAACUUGGGCAACUGAAGAUUUGUAACCAAUCUCAAUUAAUAACUGAAUACGCUAUAGCUCGUUUGGAAAAUAAUGGGGUGGCUAGAAUCGAUGGAUAUGUGCUAGCUAAUCUGGGUAAAGCACACAUCAAAAUGGUGCAAAUCCUGCAAAUCUGAAGUAAAGCUAGGAAUUUAAAAAGGUUUUUUCCCCCCACCUGUUUGGAUAUUUGAAUGCAUUAGCUAUAUAAUAUGGAAAAAAUAGGGUUCAUUACCAAACCGUGGUAUUCAUUUAAAUGAACACGCCAAACACAUCAAGCACUUGCUUUACGUGUGAAGAAAGAGUGUGCUUUAUUUUCUUCCAUUUUAGAAAAGUUCUAACUUCAAUAGAGCCUUGAUGCAUCUCUUGGCUGUCAGACAGUUAGUAGCAUUUUCUUCCUGCUCGGUGAAACGCAAUUUAAGAGGCAGGGAGGGCUUGCAGUAGCUGCAGAAACUAGAUAUGCAGCUAGUGUAAGCAAAGCUAUCAUCACUAUCCAAAUUAGAGCAAGACAAAUAAUUGAAUGCAUGUUUCUUUGGGGGUAUAUCUACAAAGUGGCUACACGGAUUUAUUCAAAGAACAUCAUGGACAUCAUCAACUGUAAACAAAAUCAAAAAAAGUAACCCUCCAAGUAAUUAAAUACACAACUCUGCAGCUCAGCCCCAUACAGCAUCUUCCAAAUAGGCCUCUAAUGUA